rfam:Penicillium steckii strain IBT 24891 PENSTE_contig001, whole genome shotgun sequence.
GCGGGGAUAGCUCAGCUGGGAGAGCGCCAGACUGAAGUUUACUUUAGUCCAUAAAUCUGGAGGUCGUGUGUUCGAUCCACACUCACCGCA